AACGCGUAUGCAAUCUACCUAUAACUGAGGAAUAGCCCAGAGAAAUUUGGAUUAAUACCUCAUAAUAAUAUUUUUUGGCAUCAUUUAAUAUUUAAAACUCCGGUGGUUAUAGAUGAGCAUGCGUUCUAUUAGUUAGUUGGUGAGGUAAGAGCUCACCAAGACUUCGAUAGAUAGGGGGCCUGAAAGGGUGAUCCCCCACACUGGUACUGAGACACGGACCAGACUCCUACGGGAGGCAGCAGUGAGGAAUAUUGCACAAUGGAGGAAACUCUGGUGCAGCCAUGCCGCGUGCAGGACGAAUGCCCUAUGGGUUGUAAACUGCUUUUUUACAAGAAGAAACCUUGGUACGUGUACCAACUUGACGGUAUUGUAAGAAUAAGCACCGGCUAACUCCGUGCCAGCAGCCGCGGUAAUACGGAGGGUGCAAGCGUUAUCCGGAUUUAUUAGGUUUAAAGGGUUCGCAGGCGGAAUUUUAAGUCAGUGGUGAAAGCCUAUAGCUCAACUAUAGAACUGCCACUGAUACUGAUAUUCUUGAGUAUAGAUGAAGUGGGCGGAAUAUGUCAUGUAGCGGUGUAAUGCAUAGAUAUGACAUGGAACACCAAUU
rnacentral:rRNA from 1 species